GGCCUGAUUCAGACUCUUUAUCUGAGUUAUGUAAUAAACCGGUUUGCCUCAACAAUUAAAACUCCCCUCUCUUAGUAUUAUAAUAGACCCUAACUAUGUUUAAGUCAUGUUAUUUAUGUGCUUUGCUCGAGGAGGUAUAUAUGAGGCCUUUAGUUGUUUACAUAAUUUCCCCUAAUAUGCAGUCUUAUGUGUUUUGAAUAUCGCUUUAGUCUUUUUACCUUUAAAGCCCAAGAGUCGGCCUAAAAUCCUCCCUCUUAUUGGAAUAGUAGUCCUAAAUUCCUCCGGGACUGAUAGGAUCAGGACGGGUAAUAGCAUGCAAUAGCGGUCGAGACCAAUCCGCGCUUUAAUACCUUAACGGGGUGGGAAAGGUGUAGAUACAGAUAUGAUGACCGGUACGUUAGUACCAUGUGUAGCCCCUCUUUGAGGAGUGAUUACUUAGUAUUGCAUUGAUAUGAUCCAUAUUUUUAAUAAACCUAGGACCCUCUUCUUCAUUUCUUUUCUUUAGC
rnacentral:lncRNA from 1 species